rnacentral:rRNA from 1 species
UACGUAGGUGACAAGCGUUGUCCGGAUUUACUGGGCGUAAAGAGCGCGCAGGCGGUCGUCAAGUCGAGUGUGAAAGCCCCCGGCUCAACUGGGGAGGGUCAUUCGAUACUGAUCGACUCGAAGGCAGGAGAGGGUAGUGGAAUUCCCGGUGUAGUGGUGGAAAUGCGUAGAUAUCGGGAGGAACACCGAAUGGCGAAGGCAGCUCGCUGGGACGUUACUGACGCUGAGACGCGAAAGCGUGGGAGCAACAGG